AUCGAACGCUGGCGGCAGGCCUAACACAUGCAAGUCGAGCGGCGCGGCGGACGGGUGAGUAAUGCCUGGUAAUCUGCCCGGUAGUGGGGGAUAACUUCCGGAAACGUGCGCUAAUACCGCAUACUAUCAGAUGAGCCUAGGUCGGUUUAGCUAGUUGGUGGGGUAAAGGCCUACCAAGGCGACGAUCCGUAACUGGUCUGAGAGGAUGAUCAGUCACACGGGAACUGAGACAAGGCCCAGACUCCUACGGGAGGCAGCAGUGGGGAAUAUGGGACAAUGGGCGAAAGCCUGAUCCAGCCAUGCCGCGUGUGUGAAGAAGGUCUUCGGAUUGUAAAGCACUUUAAGUUGGGAGGCGUUACCUACAGAAUAAGCACCGGCUAACUACGUGCCAGCCGCCGCGGUAAUAC
rnacentral:rRNA from 1 species